rnacentral:rRNA from 1 species
GACGUAGGGCGCGAGCGUUGUCCGGAUUUAUUGGGCGUAAAGGGUGCGUAGGCGGCGCGGUAAGUCGGGUGUGAAAUUUCGAGGCUUAACUUCGAAACUGCAUUCGAUACUGCCGUGCUAGAGGACUGGAGAGGAGACUGGAAUUUACGGUGUAGCGGUGAAAUGCGUAGAUAUCGUAAGGAAGACCAGUGGCGAAGGCGGGUCUCUGGACAGUUCCUGACGCUGAGGCACGAAGGCCAGGGGAGCGAACGGG